UACGUAGGGGGCAAGCGUUGUCCGGAUUUAUUGGGCGUAAAGAGCGUGUAGGCGGCUUGACAGGUCUGCUGUGAAAACUCGAGGCUCAACCUCGAGAUGUCGGCGGAAACCGUCUGGCUAGAGUCCGGAAGAGGAGAGUGGAAUUCCUGGUGUAGCGGUGAAAUGCGCAGAUAUCAGGAAGAACACCUAUGGCGAAGGCGGCUCUCUGGGACGGUACUGACGCUGAGACGCGAAAGCGUGGGGAGCGAACAGG
rnacentral:rRNA from 1 species